rnacentral:misc_RNA from 1 species
GCCUUUCAAAGGUCUUACAAACGUUUUAUAUAAAAUUGAAUG